ACACAGGUCUGGAUAAAUCUCCCCCACUGUGAAUUUGCCAUUUUUUUGGAGGCUGCACGGGCAACCAUUGACCUUCCGAUGGGUUAACACCAGAGAAACACCCUUCAAGUGCAGGAAGAACACAUAUUGAGCCACAUGAAACACAAAACCACAUGGAGGAAGUUGUAGACACGGAGACUCGUACGAGGACAGACCUAGAAAUGAAUCAAGAACAGUUUUAACAGCCUCGGUGAAUUGCUCCCCAGAGAUUGUUCUAAGAGCGAAGACAUCUGGUGCUGACAAGUACGAGUAGGGUUGACUGGUGAAACACACAAGACGACAACAGAUAAGAGUAAAUGGCUCCAUGCUGGAGGUACUGUUUGCUUACUUAAUGGCGGUGGGUUUAUUUUUCCUUUAGAUUUCUGUAAUGUCAGCUAAAGUUUAACUAAAGACAAAUUUUUAAGAUGAACAAGAAAAGAGGAGGAAAU